ensembl:misc_RNA
CAUCUUAAUACAUUCUCAGUAGAUCAUGAAGCCGUUUAUUUAAUAUUAUUUGGAUAACAAGCCUCCACAUGAAUGGGAUUCGAAUGUCAGUUGUCUUAGGGGAAAAAAGAUUUAUUGGUUGGUAAAUAUUGAGAAAGAAAAGCUGAUAAAGAACGGCUUCAGCUGUGGCUUCUGCCGGGAGCCGGAGAACAGGCCUGUGUUGUAUUUUGGGGCCCUGGGAAGGCAAAAAAUUGUGAAUGUCUUUCUUUGUUGGUGGGUGUAAAAGUGGAGCCCGCUACAAAUAAUUUCUUAUUUCUGUUUGCAUAGAUUUUAAAUUAUGUAGCUUCCUUACCUUGUUAAGUAUUAAAGCAGUCUUGUUUAAGGAAAAGUCACUUAAAUAAUGAAGCUUAUGUAUCUUGUUUUCAGACAUCAAUAUCUGGCUUUGAGUGGCAAAAAAGGGAUAAAGGCAUGUGGAUUCAG